rnacentral:rRNA from 1 species
AGGAAUAUUGGUCAAUGGACGCAAGUCUGAACCAGCCAUGCCGCGUGCAGGAUGACGGCUCUAUGAGUUGUAAACUGCUUUUGUACGAGGGUAAACGCAGAUACGUGUAUCUGUCUGAAAGUAUCGUACGAAUAAGGAUCGGCUAACUCCGUGCCAGCAGCCGCGGUAAUACGGAGGAUUCAAGCGUUAUCCGGAUUUAUUGGGUUUAAAGGGUGCGUAGGCGGUUUGAUAAGUUAGAGGUGAAAUUUCGGGGCUCAACCCUGAACGUGCCUCUAAUACUGUUGAGCUAGAGAGUAGUUGCGGUAGGCGGAAUGUAUGGUGUAGCGGUGAAAUGCUUAGAGAUCAUACAGAACACCGAUUGCGAAGGCAGCUUACCAAACUAUAUCUGACGUUGAGGCACGAAAGCGUGGGGAGCAAACAGGAUUAGAUACCCUGGUAGUCCACGCAGUAAACGAUGAUAACUCGUUGUCGGCGAUACACAGUCGGUGACUAAGCGAAAGCGAUAAGUUAUCCACCUGGGGAGUACGUUCGCAAGAAUGAAACUCAAAGGAAUUGACGGGGGCCCGCACAAGCGGAGGAACAUGUGGUUUAAUUCGAUGAUACGCGAGGAACCUUACCCGGGCUUGAAAGUUAGCGACGAUUCUUGAAAGAGGAUUUCCCUUCGGGGCGCGAAACUAGGUGCUGCAUGGUUGUCGUCAGCUCGUGCCGUGAGGUGUCGGGUUAAGUCCCAUAACGAGCGCAACCCCUACCGUUAGUUGCCAUCAGGUGAAGCUGGGCACUCUGGCGGGACUGCCGGUGUAAGCCGAGAGGAAGGUGGGGAUGACGUCAAAUCAGCACGGCCCUUACGUCCGGGGCUACACACGUGUUACAAUGGUAGGUACAGAGGGCAGCUACCCAGCGAUGGGAUGCCAAUCCCCAAAACCUCUCUCAGUUCGGACUGGAGUCUGCAACCCGACUCCACGAAGCUGGAUUCGCUAGUAAUCGCGCAUCAGCCACGGCGCGGUGAAUACGUUCCCG